UUAAAGCUUGCUAAAUCUCUAGCUGAAUCUCAGGGACAGAAAUGUCAAGGAGGGUAGACAGAUGAAUACGUUCAAAUGGAAACAGACCAGGUCUCAGCUUCUCUGGUUGGAAGAAAAGCAAAAUACAGAGCAAAACAAACAAAUGAAAAAACACCUCAGGAAGCAAACAAACACACAAACAAACAUAAAGAUCCAAGCCAAUCUAUGAUCUGUAAAAUAAGCGAGGUGCAGAAUUGCAACAGGGACUCUAGGCAUCUUCAGCUGAAUGUAAGAAGUCCAACUAACCUAAGGCUGCCAUGUGGAGAGACCCCUUGGAGGGACACACAGAGAAAGAGAGAGAGACCUGAGCAGCCAGGUGUGCCAGCCCCCAGCUGAGCCUUCUCAGCCUACAUGCCAGGAAUAGGAUGAUGAACAUUCCAAGAAGCUCACUGGACAGCAGCCACCUGAGAGAUGCACGCCCUCAGACUCCUGAACCAAAUAAAUGAUUUUUUUACUGUUUUAA